UACGGGAGGGGACUAGCGUUGUUCGGAAUUACUGGGCGUAAAGCGCACGUAGGCGGAUUUGUAAGUCAGGGGUGAAAUCCCGGGGCUCAACCUCGGAACUGCCUUUGAUACUGCAAAUCUCGAGUCCGGAAGAGGUGAGUGGAAUUCCUAGUGUAGAGGUGAAAUUCGUAGAUAUUAGGAAGAACACCAGUGGCGAAGGCGGCUCACUGGUCCGGUACUGACGCUGAGGUGCGAAAGCGUGGGGAGCAAACAGG
rnacentral:rRNA from 1 species